AAUUUAGUGAUAAACCUCCAUGAUAUAAAAACCCAUGUGGCAUCCAAGGAUCAAAAUAAGAACAUGAAGGAUAACCAAACAUAUCUAAGGAUGAAUCCAAGACAUAGGCAUAUUUGACAUUUAUAAACAAAAUGGAUGAUGCAAUGACCAAUAAUUUUGAUGAUUUGGUGCAAACCUCAUAUUUGAAGACUAUCUCUCAAACUUUCUCUUCUCCUUCAACUGUGUUGCACCCUUUGCUUGAACAUCAACCUUAUUUUGAAUUUGAAUGCUUCCUUUAGGAACCCUUAC
rnacentral:lncRNA from 1 species